GCUGCGCCGCCGCUGCCUGGUUCCAGAUCUAAAGCUUGGAUUUUGUGCGGCGGACCAACGGCGCAUCCAUCCCCAAGUGCCCCUGGCCAUGGAGGCCGUCGUUCAUGUCCACCUCCACUACCAUUAACUCCCCCCUCCUCCGUCCGUCGCCUCGCCGACCCGGCCUCUUCACCUCGCCAUGGCACUCCCCACACCCCGUGCGCUCCUGCCUGCCCACCUCCGCGCGCCCCUCCCCGCCUGCACCUACCCCCUCGCCGUCACUAGCACAGAUGAGCGGGAGGCAAAUGAGGAAUUUGUGGUGGCCACAUACCAGCCGGUUCCCGUCGACGACCCCCGCGCACAACUCCACUUCCUGCAGGUUAGGAAGAUUACUUGGAUGCUUUUCAGGCUUCUCCAGCAUUAACCGGGCAUGCUCUCCAGUAUGAACAAUCACUUAUUCAGAUCAUGCAGUGACACUCUUGACUGCACAACAAUAAUCCGUGGCGGCGGCAGCCAAAGCGGACGAAGUGUCUGGUCCUGCGAGUGGCGGUGGUGGUCGCCUACGUGGCGCAGGUGGGCGGCGGUGGUCAUCCCCAUGGCAGCG